rnacentral:rRNA from 1 species
UACGUAGGGGGCAAGCGUUGUCCGGAUUUAUUGGGCGUAAAGAGCGUGUAGGCGGCUAGAUAGGUCCGUUGUGAAAACUCGAGGCUCAACCUCGAGACGUCGAUGGAAACCAUCUAGCUAGAGUCCGGAAGAGGAGAGUGGAAUUCCAGGUGUAGCGGUGAAAUGCGUAGAUAUCUGGAGGAACACCGGUGGCGAAGGCGGCAUCCUGGACCGGCAUUGACGCUGAGGCGCGAAAGCCAGGGGAGCAAACGGG